AGUGAACGCUGGCGGUAGGCCUAACACAUGCAAGUCGAACGGCAGCACAGUAAGAGCUUGCUCUUACGGGUGGCGAGUGGCGGACGGGUGAGGAAUACAUCGGAAUCUACUUUUUUCGUGGGGGAUAACGUAGGGAAACUUACGCUAAUACCGCAUACGACCUACGGGUGAAAGCAGGGGAUCUUCGGACCUUGCGCGAUUGAAUGAGCCGAUGUCGGAUUAGCUAGUUGGCGGGGUAAAGGCCCACCAAGGCGACGAUCCGUAGCUGGUCUGAGAGGAUGAUCAGCCACACUGGAACUGAGACGCGGUCCAGACUCCUACGGGAGGCAGCAGUGGGGAAUAUUGGACAAUGGGCGCAAGCCUGAUCCAGCCAUACCGCGUGGGUGAAGAAGGCCUUCGGGUUGUAAAGCCCUUUUGUUGGGAAAGAAAAGCAGCAGGUUAAUACCCCGCUGUUCUGACGGUACCCAAAGAAUAAGCACCGGCUAACUUCGUG
rnacentral:rRNA from 1 species